rnacentral:rRNA from 1 species
GAAGGGUUGGAUGAAAUAUUAACUGUUUUAUAAAAAUUUAUUUGGAAAUUUAUUUUUUAGUGAGAAAGCUAAAAUAUGUUUAAAGGACGAGAAGACCCUAUAAAGUUUUAUAGUUUUUAGGGUUUAUUAUUUUUAAGAAUUUUUAAAAUAUUAAAUUAUUAAAAUUAUUAAAUUGGGGGGAUUAUAAAAUUUAAAUAACUUUUAUUAAAUUUAUCAUUGAUUUAUGUAAUAAAUGAUUUAGUAGGAAAUUAAUUAUAAAAUUAAAUUACUUUAGGGAUAACAGCGUUAUUUUUUUUU